rnacentral:lncRNA from 1 species
CCCACGUAGCUCCGCCUAUGUUCACCGCAUCAGGAUCCCACACAUAUCGUGGUUCGAAGGUGCGUGCAAGAGAAGAUAUCGAAGAAAGCUCAAUCUCUAUUCAUUUUUCCAACUAGUAAAGUGCACGUGCGGCACGCACGUAUUUUUAAAAAAAUUUAGUAAAAAUGCUUAACUCGUAACACAAUUUUAUUUCAUCCACUUUAGGAAGCUUAAUUUGAAAAAGUUCAUCCAAAUAUAAAGUAUAAGGUUCAUUUAAUGGCUUUUCAAAGGCUUGUGUAUUAGUUUUUUAAAACGAAUUAUAACUUCCAUUAAGCAACAAUCGAUCCAGGCAUAUCACCAGUUACUAAUUCGUAUAUAAACUCCAGGGCUUUGUUCAGUACCAUCUCAAAAUCAGAGUAUCUAUUGCCACAAAACCCCAACCCUAUCCAUCUCCUUGGGAGAAAAAAAGCUGCAUCAAUAUUGAUCUGUUAUGUUCCCUCAUCCAGUGGACUCCAUUUAGCUUGGGUCUAAGUCUGUUUUCUCUCGCAAUCAGACUUCGUUCCAAAUUCUAGUAGGUGAUAUGUUACUGAGGAACUCCACAAAUUCUCUCCCCA